UGCCAGACUCCUACGGGAGGCAGCAGUGGGGAAUAUUGCACAAUGGGGGGAACCCUGAUGCAGCGACGCCGCGUGGGUGAAGGAGCACCUCGGUGCGUAAAGCCCUAUCGGCAGGGAAGAAACAGACGGUACCUGACUAAGAAGCCCCGGCUAACUACGUGCCAGCAGCCGCGGUAAUACGUAGGGGGCAAGCGUUAUCCGGAUUUACUGGGUGUAAAGGGAGCGUAGACGGCGCUGCAAGUCCGGAGUGAAAGCCCAUGGCUUAACCAUGGUACUGCUCUGGAAACUGUGGAGCUUGAGUGCGGGAGGGGCAGGCGGAAUUCCUAGUGUAGCGGUGAAAUGCGUAGAUAUUGGGAGGAACACCGGCGGCGAAGGCGGCCUGCUGGACCGUAACUGACGUUGAGGCUCGAAAGCGUGGGGAGCAAACAGGAUUAGAUACCCCUGUA
rnacentral:rRNA from 1 species